CUCAUCUUCUUAACUUGGAGAUCUAGAAUAGAAAUAGGCACUUCCUCAUAGGUAAGAUCUUCCGCAACUUGCACAUCCUUAGUAGAAGUGAUAUGUGAUGGAUCUCCGAUGCACUUUCGAAGCAUUGACACAUGAAAUACCGGAUGUACUGAUGAGAGCUCUUGGGGUAGCUAUAAUUCAUAUGCAACUUGUCCAAACCUUCGAGUGAUCUUA
rnacentral:lncRNA from 1 species